GUAGGCUUGUUUUUAAAGAGAAAUCCAACAAUUAGCUUUUAGUCUGGCAGAUUUUGAUUGCACCUCCACAGAUGUAAUUUCUGAAUGCCUUGAUUUCAUUAACCGUAAUGAGUGGUCCCUAGCCCAUUUGUCCGUAGUGUCACUCAAUGGACGGCGUGGUGCUCACACAGCAACAGGUCCCUGUGUCCCACCUGGCAGCGCGUGACUCAGAAUGGCUCCAGUGCCACGAAGUGAUGCAAACUCUGUUAUCUCUUUUCACCCAGAUGAAUGAACCCUGAAUCAGAUGUCGAUAGCUGCUUGACAUUCUUGGAGAUCUCUGCCUGCUGGAAUGGAGCUUUUGGGAGGUACCUCACACUCAGGCAGCACCCUUGGAGAGGCUGGGUGGGUAGGAGAAGGACUUGUUCCCUUCCCCUGUCUCUGCCCCAUCUCAUCCUUUAGGAGUCGGGGUGAGAUGCAGCACAUCCAGCUGAGCUGCAGCUCACCCGCAGAUGCCUCCCACUCCCAGCAAGAGGAAGGAAGCACCACCAGUGUUUGCACUAGGAGACCACUCAGCAGCGGCGAUGGUGAGGCAAGCAUCUCCCAGCAGAGCGGGACAAGCCUCUUCCAGCUGUGUCCAUUCCUUGUCCUGAACAGACUUCCAGCAAAUUCCUGUGGCAAUUGCAGUGCAAUGGCCCUACGCGAUGUCCCUGCCAUAAAGGCAGUGGAGCACUUGCCAUUGACCAGAAGGUGAAGUGUGGUGUGCACUGGGAGGUGCUGGGACACCCUUCGGAGCAGCCUGCCGCUGAGACCUGCCGAGGAGCCUCUCCUUACAGCAGUGCCUGCGGCUGGAGUAACGGCUGGUAGUGUGAAACAAAGUGACAGCAGGUGCCUCCCCAAAGGGUUACUCCUUAACCACGUCGUGGCACAGAUCUAACUGGAGGAGAUGAUGGAGUGGGAUGGUGGACUGUGGGGUUGUGGCUAUCCCUGGCCCCACAGAAUGAGUCCUGCGGGUCCCACCAGCAUCUCCUGAGUGCACAGCAAGGACAUCAUCCAGGACCAGUGCAGCAUCGCAGCAGCUCUCCAGUGUCCCCAUCAGCCUCUAGCAGCAAAGACAGAGCCCCUUUCCCCCAUGGACUUCUGUGCUCGAUGCCCUGGACAACACUGAGGUGGAUAAAGGGAAUCCUCCCAAAACUUCCUAAUAAACGGGAUGCGCCUCUGGAUUUCUUAGCCCCGGGAAGAGUGAACCUGUCUCUGCAGCCAAGUGCAGAAGGUGUCAGUACUGAGUCACUUCUUUGCUCACAAAUUCUGUGCCAUGGGGAAGUGGGAUGAGGAGGGGUUGCUGCAGAGGACAGAGCAAAAGACAGAUACCUGCACCUUGCUGGAUAUCUCCAGAAGGUUUUCCAUCCUCAGCUGCAUGAGGAGAGGGGAGAUUGUCAGGAACUGGGUGUUUAACUCUGGGAGCCACCAACUUCAAUGCUCCUCCUGGAGACCCAAGGCUGCUGAGAGCUGCUGCAGAGGUGCCAGGGACAAGGCAGCAGCACACUGCCAUUUCAGGAAAGCCUCAGGUUCCCAGGAGCAUCACAGAGGUAUCAUUCAGCUGUGCAUACCCAGAUCCCAGCAGGGAGUUCCAGAGCCACUGGGGACUGUGGGUGGAGUGGUUCAGGGUUUCUCUGCAGCAGCAGCAGAGCCAGCCCUUCAUCUUCCUUCUUGUUCCUGUCCUGUGGAUGACAGCUCAGCCACAGAACAGGUUAAGGGGAGAAGGUGUUCAGGGCUACCUGUCCCGCAUCCCAGCAGGGUCACAUGCUGGUUGCUACAGGCAAAUGAUCUUCCCAAAAUUUUGGAAGUGCUUCAGCAACCAGCCCAGAGGAACCCCUUCUCUGUCACGGCCACGAGCACAGGGAGCGUUGGUCCCAGCUCUGGAGGCAUCACCCUGGGCUGAGGGAGGCGAGGACAGGCACACAGGGAGCACAGCAGGCUCUUGCAGCGUCACCCAGCCCCUGGCAAGGAUAACAGCAAAGCAGACCUCUUCAAAUAACCAGGACCUCUUCAAGACAGAGAGUAAGAUCCUCAGACGGCCUGAUCUCUGCUUAAUCCCUGCAAACAGACACCUCUGAUUAGGAGGAUUGGUUUCUUCGGGGAGGGGGGAGCUGACUGGGGGCUUUGCCUGGCAGAAGCGAAGAAGUGACAUCUGGUGCUGUGUUCCUAAACCCAGACAGCCCCUGACUUCUGUCCCCAAACUAAUUCUCAGCCUUCUCACUUUUCCUCCUCAUCCUGGCACCAAACCUCCUUCAUCAGCAUCUGACCUGGAGUAUCCACGUCUCUCCAUGGAUAAGCUGACAUCGUGCCUGGGACCAGAGAGGAGCCCUGAGCCCCUGGAAGGCGCAGGCGAGGUGGGCAAAGGUGGGCAGGAGUUGCCCUCGAGGAUGCGACGACAGCUUUGUCUGCAAGAGCUGGGUGGGCAGCGGUGCUCAGCACCCCCUGCACCACUGACACAAAUUAGAGGCGCCACAUCAGUGCCACAGAGGUCUCAGUUAAUGAGCAGGGGCACUAAUGAAUCUGUAUGUUAUUUCAAUGUAUCCUCUGCCUCUAGGACAGCCCUGGGGCGCUUCAAGCAAACAAAUGAAGGAAAUGUGUCUAUUAGGGCUGGCCAUGCACCUGGGCCACCCCUGCCACCGGGAGCUGCCUGGGUUCAGGGCAACUGUACAUUCACAGAAGUGAUUUAUACAGGCUCACAACAAAUAUUUUUGCUGAAGAUUUUCUGCAAGAUUUGCCAGGGGUUUUGUCAAAACAAAAAAUGACAUUUGUCUUAUUGAGCUGGGGAUUUUUCAGGCUCAUUUUCUUAAUGAGAUUCUGAAAUUUCGACCCUCCCCCAAGUUAUACACUGUUUUCUGUGUUGAUGACGAUCAGUUUUGGCUGAAAAUAAUUUUGAUGCAAAAUGUUCAGCUGUGUCUCCAGCAGGGUAAAGCUCUAACGGAGCCCUGCGAUGCAGAAGUGCUGGCAUGACUGAAUGCCUUUGCUUUAAGAGGCAGCAAAGAGAAUAGCCCCCGGCAAGGAGAGAAGAGCCCUUUCCAUCCCAGCUGCAUUCUUGGAGCAGCCUCAGAGAGGUAGGAGACCCACUGAAGUAUCUCAAAGUACCAGCCUGCUGUGGUGAGGAGCCCAUGGUUUUCUGGCUGUUUUCUUCCCACCCUAACCCAGUGGGAUGGCUCUGAAGGCACACUGCAGACUGGGCAGCAGAGGAGAGAAAUGCAGGGGCAGAGGGGAGGAUGCUGGUGAUGCUCAGGGCUGAGCUGGUACCAAGAUUUUUGGCAUCUGAGCAGGCUUGGCUGGACAUCUAGGCAUUCAGAUGUGCCCAAGGAGAAAGGAGGGGCAUCAGGGGUCUACAUUUUGCUAACCCAAGCCUAGGGUGACAGUUUUGUAAUGGUUCAGCCUCAAGAGGUUUUAUGGAUAGCAGUAGCCCCAAAGUAGGGUGCCACCAGGGAAUUACACCACUGACAGGGAGUGUGAGUGGGAUGCUGGACCCCCGUGCGAGGGAGUCUGCAGAGGAGGUGAUGUGACGUGUGUGCUGGAGCUGCCACAGCUCCCUGCAGGAAGAGACCUCCUAAAGGUGCUGGGGAGGUCUCACCACCCUGAACUCUUGUCAUCUGGAGAGGACCAAGAGGUGAGAAUUACGGCUCCUGGAAGUGUGAGAGCAUCAUACAGGGCAGCACUGGCAGAGCAGCACACCUGUAGGAACCAAAGGUGGAAGAGCAGUGGAGCAAGAACAGGAUGUUUUUGUGGGAAACCCUGGUCUGAAGCAACUGGAGGCAUAGGGUGCAAUCUGCCAACAGGCAGGAUGCCACAAAUGCCAACAUCACCUCAGGCCUACGUCUGAACAGUGAAUUAAAUAGGUCUGGAAAUAUGCCCGGGCACUGGGACCAACCAGCAUGAGCACCCCACACUAUCUUCUGAACUUGCCUGGUCCCUGCAGCAGGAUGGAUGCAUCCAAAACAGUCCCAGGAGCACUCCAGCUGCUGACCACGUCCAGAAAUCGCUUUGGAGAGAGCUGUCUGGCACAGUCCAAACCCAGGGCCCUUUCUGACAAUUUAGCAGUGCAGAUAAUGGCUUUUCUAACCCUGGCAAGCACUGCCAGGCUCCAUUCAAUGCAUCUGCCAUGGUCUGGUGCUCUGUAGUAGAAAUGAGGACUGAGGGUUUGGCACCUGGCAUUGGUUCAUCCCAGAGAAAAAGCAACAACUCAUUUUCUGUCAUUAGAUCCUGUAAGAAUACUUCUAAAAUGAGAGUUAUGGGUUAAAAUAUCCUUUCUGCAUGGAGUGGGUAGACAGAUCAAUUAAUCAAUCAACAGACUGCUUAGAUAUACAAGCAGACCAUUGUUACCCAAGGCUGAGUGGAGAUCAGUGGCAUGCACUGUUGUAACAAUUUCCCAUUUGCUGCCAUGCCAUGGGGCUCUCAUUUGCCAUUUUUAUGAUUAUUUAUGCCACAUUUGUCCAUUUGUUGGCAUCACAUUCAGUAGUGUUAUCAGCUGGUUGAAGUAAGUUUGAACACAGUUCAAUAAAAAUAAAUCAUAUGUGUCCCAGGGUCACAGAGCCCCCACAGGAACACUUGCUCCCUCAGCCCUAGGCAUGGCACAGCUGGAUGAGACCUCUCAUGUGUCCCACCAGGGAAGGAAAGACACCAGGACAGGACAGCAAGAGUCCCUGCAGUGACAGGCUGCGGACAAAUGCUGCUGCAACACAUGGCAGCACCAAGAAGCCGGUGGAGAUGUCUUCCCUCUGGGUAAUGCCCUAGACCUCUUCCCUUGGAGCAUCACCCUUGUUGUCACAGAGUAUGGAGGUGGAUUUGGGCCCCAGGCUGGACCCACAGUCCAUCUCCCCAGCCCGUUCUCAGGGGGACAGGGCUGCAGACACACACCCCCUCAGCCCUUCCACCGCCGGUCAGUCAUCCCAGUCAGCCUAGGAAAGGAUUUACAGGGCCUGGACUCAACACUCAGGAGUCUUUCCCAGGUCUGGGUUGCUAAAUAGAGCCCUGUCAAACUCUAACACCUUCUAAGUGGAAAGAGACACCUGCUUUGUCCACUCGUGUGUCCAGCACACCAGGUAAUAAGGUGGACAGAUUUUAGCAAUCAGGAAUUCCAACAUGUGGGUUAUUUUAUUAUACUUUUCUCAGAAUUUUUGCUUCAGGACAGUUGAACUCAAUGGCACAUUAGGGAGUAUAAAGCAAGCAAGCUAAUUCAGUCCAAGCAACUUGGAAUUGUUGAACAAGGGAGUGCAGCCCCUCACCUGCGUCUCGGGCAUGCUGAAGCUUCACCCAUGGUAAGGGCAGCCAGGUUUGCCCCAGGUUCCGCCAUGAGCCCAUCACCUGCCCCCGAGGCCAGCAGCUCUCCGAGAAAAGGGGACAGUACUGCCUAAGUGUCCCAAAGCACAUGGGUUGUGUAGGAGAAACAGAGCAGCCCGUCCAACUCCAGCUGCUCCCCAGCUAGGGAAGGGUCCGUGACCCUCAUCCAGGCUGGAUGGUCCUGUAACCUGGGGUCUGGUCUCGGACCAUGGCAGGCACAGGCACUGCUCUCUGGGGCAGUGGGCAGGCUCAGCCGUGCCUUCAGCGCGGGGCUGGCUCAGCACCAGGCUCCCACUGGGCUUCCACCCCGUGCCCGAGCCGGGGGACAAGUCGGGGCAAGUGGGGGCUCAGGGCUGCAGCGUGCCCACCUGGCUCCGGAGCGAUGCCGCUGCCUCCAACCCAAUGCACCCAGCUGUCAGGAGCGGGAGGGAGGAGGGAACUGUCGGUUUGUAUAUUUUGCACUGUAACCUUCUGGGGUGGAAAAUAGCUCUAAGCACCAAAGAGGAGAAUUAAAGCACAUUUUAAUGA